AGUGAACGCUGGCGGUAGGCCUAACACAUGCAAGUCGAACGGCAGCACAGUAAGAGCUUGCUCUUACGGGUGGCGAGUGGCGGACGGGUGAGGAAUACAUCGGAAUCUACUUUUUCGUGGGGGAUAACGUAGGGAAACUUACGCUAAUACCGCAUACGACCUACGGGUGAAAGCAGGGGAUCUUCGGACCUUGCGCGAUUGAAUGAGCCGAUGUCGGAUUAGCUAGUUGGCGGGGUAAAGGCCCACCAAGGCGACGAUCCGUAGCUGGUCUGAGAGGAUGAUCAGCCACACUGGAACUGAGACACGGUCCAGACUCCUACGGGAGGCAGCAGUGGGGAAUAUUGGACAAUGGGCGCAAGCCUGAUCCCGCCAUACCGCGUGGGUGAAGAAGGCCUUCGGGUUGUAAAACCCUUUUGUUGGGAAAGAAAAGCAGCAGGUUAAUACCCCGCUGUUCUGACGGUACCCAAAGAAUAAGCACCGGCUAACUUCGUG
rnacentral:rRNA from 1 species